rnacentral:rRNA from 1 species
UGGGGAAUCAUAGACACUGGGGGCAACCCUGAUCUUGCCAUGCCGCGUGAGCGAUGAAGGUCUUAGGAUUGUAAAGCUCUUUCGCCGGGGACGAUAAUGACGCUACCCGGUAAAGAAGCCCCGGCUAACUCCGUGCCAGCAGCCGCGGUAAUACGGAGGGGGCUAGCGUUGUUCGGAAUUACUGGGCGUAAAGCGCACGUAGGCGGACCGGAAAGUUGGGGGUGAAAUCCCGGGGCUCAACCCUGGAACUGCCUUCAAAACUGUCGGUCUUGAGUCCGAGAGAGGUGAGUGGAACUCCGAGUGUAGAGGUGAAAUUCGUAGAUAUUCGGAAGAACACCAGCGGCGAAGGCGGCUCACUGGCUCGGGACUGACGCUGAGGUGCGAAAGCGUGGGGAGCAAACAGGAUUAGAUACCCCCGUAGUCC